GGGGGGGGGGGGGGGGGGGCGGGGGGCAGGGGGGGGGGGGGGGGGGGCCCGGCUUUGGUGGGGUGCUCGGGUGGCGAACGGGUGAGUAACGCGUGAGUAACCUGCCCUUGACUUUGGGAUGACUUCAGGAAACUGGGGCUAAUACCGGAUAGGAGCUCCUGCUGCAUGGUGGGGGUUGGAAAGUUUCGGCGGUUGGGGAUGGACUCGCGGCUUAUCAGCUUGUUGGUGGGGUAGUGGCUUACCAAGGCUUUGACGGGUAGCCGGCCUGAGAGGGUGACCGGCCACAUUGGGACUGAGAUACGGCCCAGACUCCUACGGGAGGCAGCAGUGGGGAAUAUUGCACAAUGGGCGGAAGCCUGAUGCAGCAACGCCGCGUGCGGGAUGACGGCCUUCGGGUUGUAAACCGCUUUCGCCUGUGACGAAGCGUGAGUGACGGUAAUGGGUAAAGAAGCACCGGCUAACUACGUG
rnacentral:rRNA from 1 species